rnacentral:lncRNA from 1 species
GUAAGGGGAGGUCUUACUUUUCUCCUCCCGACGCCUGCCCCGACUUUGGGCUCCUGAAUCUCAGGUGACCCCUGUGAAAGGGAUCAAGACACACAGGUUGAGAACUGCUGGUCUAGAUCCUUGACUGCCUUCGUGUUGGCUUGAACACCUGAUAUGCUUGGGGCCAUUCUUGAGAGCUGAGCUUUUCUGGUUCCUACAGUGUUUACUCUCAACUUUCAGAGAAACUAAACCAGGCCCACAACUUUCAUGACAAAGGUAUGAAGUAAAGCAAAGGCUGAGAUGCGCUAUCAUUCCCAGAGGCUCUCUGGCUUCAUCCCAGGCAUCCCUGAAAGGCCUCCUCUGUAUCUGCUUGUGAACAGAACAUCAGAGACAUUUCCUAAGGAAUCUUCACAGGCCACUCAUGAAACAGCAGUCUGUAUGCAGGUGUUGUGCAAGAUGCCAGCAGAAGCCAUUGAGCUUGCUUCAUCCCUCCCUCCACAUAUGUGCCCAACCAUGGGUGACACAAGCUAAAGUCAUCCAAGAGGAGAGAUGGAUGACUCCACAAGAAAGUGCCACAAGAAGAUUGGGCUGUAGGCAAGUCUAUAAGGCAUUUUCUUAGUUUAAUUAGUGACUGGUGUGGAAGGGACCAGUGCAUUAUGAGUGGUGCCACCUUUGGGCAGGUGGUCCUGUGACUAUGAGAAAGUAGACUGAGCAAGCCACAAGGGACAAGACAGGAAACAGCACUCUUCCAUCACCUCUGCAUCAGCUCCUGGCUUCAAGAUCCUGCCAUGCUAGAGUUCCUGUCCUGACUUUCUUCAGUAAUGGACUGUGAUGUGGAAGUGUAAGCCAAACAAACCCUUUCCUCCUCAACUUGCUUAUGAUCAUGGCGUUUCAUUACAGCGAUGGAAACCCUAACUAAGACACC